AUUGAACGCUGGCGGCAGGCCUAACACAUGCAAGUCGAACGAGUGGCGGACGGGUGAGUAAUGUCUGGGAAACUGCCUGAUGGAGGGGGAUAACUACUGGAAACGGUAGCUAAUACCGCAUACCAUCGGAUGUGCCCCGAUGGGAUGAGCUAGUAGGUGGGGUAAAGGCUAACCUAGGAGACGAUCCCUAGCUGGUCUGAGAGGAUGACACGCCACACGGGAACUGAGACACGGGCCAGAAUCCUACGUGAGGCAGCAGUGGGGAAUAUUGCACAAUGGGCGCAAGCCUGAUGCAGCCAUGCCGCGUGUAUGAAGAAGGCCUUCGUGUUGUAAAGUACUUUCAGCGGGGAGGCGUUACCCGCAGAAGAAGCACCGGCUAACUCCGUGCCAGCAGCCGCGGUAAUUC
rnacentral:rRNA from 1 species